CAAACCAAAGCUGGCGACCGGCGCACGGGUGAGUAACACGUAUCCAACCUGCCUCAUACUCGGGGAUAGCUUUUCGAAAGAAAGAUUAAUAUCCGAUAGCAUAUAUUUCCCGCAUGGGUUUUAUAUUAAAGAAAUUCGGUAUGAGAUGGGGAUGCGUUCCAUUAGUUUGUUGGGGGGGUAACGGCCCACCAAGACUACGAUGGAUAGGGGUUCUGAGAGGAAGGUCCCCCACAUUGGAACUGAGACACGGUCCAA
rnacentral:rRNA from 1 species